UACGUAGGGCGCAAGCGUUGUCCGGAAUUAUUGGGCGUAAAGAGCUCGUAGGCGGUCUGUCACGUCUGCCGUGAAAACCCGAGGCUUAACCUCGUGGCUUGCGGUGGAUACGGGCAGACUAGAGGUAGGUAGGGGAGAACGGAAUUCCCGGUGUAGCGGUGAAAUGCGCAGAUAUCGGGAGGAACACCGGUGGCGAAGGCGGUUCUCUGGGCCGUAACUGACGCUGAGGAGCGAAAGCGUGGGGAGCGAACAGG
rnacentral:rRNA from 1 species